rnacentral:rRNA from 1 species
UUGGCCUACGGGGGGCAGCAGUGGGGAAUAUUGGGCAAUGGGCGCAAGCCUGACCCAGCAACGCCGCGUGAAGGAAGAAGGCUUUCGGGUUGUAAACGUCUUUUACCAGGGACGAAGAAAGUGACGGUACCUGGAGAAUAAGCCACGGCUAACUACGUGCCAGCAGCCGCGGUAAUACGUAGGUGGCGAGCGUUGUCCGGAUUUACUGGGUGUAAAGGGCGCGUAGGCGGGACGGUAAGUCAGCGGUAAAAAUGCGGAGCUCAACUCCGUCGAGCCGUUGAAACUGUCGUUCUUGAGUGAGCGAG